ACUACAAAUGGUAACAUUAGAUGAUAGAUUGACCGUGAGUUUGCCAAAAGUUAGCUAUAAAGUUGUAAGUUUAAAGAGUUAAGUGUGGUUGAGGUCACAGGCGUUUCUUACGUGUCACGGCAGGAUGUAGUAAUUUACAGUAGGUGAGUCAAUAGUGGGUGUUGCCUAUAAUGAAAUACUCGCGCCUGUCGUUUAUUAGUACUGUAAGUUACGUAUUGAAAUUUUAUGUCAGUUCCUUCUUAAUGCAUUAAUAUUGAUCUUGAAGGGAUGUGAGAAGAAUUUAGUGAAAACCUUUACUGAAGCCAGGUUACAAACAUGAAUCUGCAGUGUGACACUGUGACCUGAGCUAAUCAUGGAAACUUUAAAAACCAUCAUGUGGUUUAGAAAAUGGUGUGAAUUCUGCAGAACCCAUAAAGAUAUCAUGGCGCAGUUGGCAGCACAAUCGGCUCACAGCAA